UUGAGGCAGUAAUUAAAUUUGGGUCCCAUAAAAGGAAGUGCAUUCGAGCCUAAAAUUCAUACGAAGUGGUUUAGCCAACAGUUACUUUCAAAAAUGUUAGAUAAAUUUUUAUUUAAAGUUGUUUUUAUUGUACUUGUAUUAACUUCAACAAUGCUGAGUCAAUCUAUGGCCCGGAUUCGGACUAAUGCGGAGGAGUACAACAGCGUAAAUGAUAAUUUAUGAAAUUGUCUUUUUUCACGUCAGCUGCAGAAGAAUUUUACAUAAUUGUUCUGUAAAAACGUGUAAAUAAAGCAUUUAAAAAUA